rnacentral:tRNA from 1 species
CGGGGUGUGGCGCAGCUGGUAGCGUGCUUGAAUGGGGUUCAAGAGGUCGCAGGUUCGACUCCUGUCACUCCGACCA